GUGCUCACUUCAGCAGCACAUAUACAAAAAUUGGAACAAUUUAGAGAUUAGCACGGCCCCUGUGCAAGGAUGACACGCAAAUUUGUGAAGCAUUCCAUAUUUUG
rnacentral:snRNA from 1 species